CGCCGCCUGCGGCGCGUCCUGACCUGCGGCAUCUGGCCGCCGCUCCGCUUUGCGCCGUUUGCCAGCUUUGGCGGCUCCGCUGCUCCGCAGCACCCGGCUCCGGCAGCACCCCGUAGAUGUAAAGCCUUUGACAAAAAACCGGGAGCGCUGCUGAAUCGAUCGCAGCAGAAAGUGCUGAAGCGGCAUCGCGGCAGUUCCGACCGACGCAGCCCAGUGAGUCACUGGAGCUGAAAACAUGAACAGGACUGCUGACUUCUGAAACAAGACAAACACUCAGGAUCGCUGCCCGGGAGCGGCGCUUUUCACAUCAGCCUCAUUGGCGGCUUUCCCCCCCUCCUCCUCCUCCUCCGCGGCCGCCGCCGCCGCCGCUGCUGCAUUCCCACCGCAGUGCUCCGGCCGCCGAGUAAAACACGCUAUGAAUAGCAUCCAUAUCAGAUGCGCAGAAAUCCACGGCAAAGCCCAGGGGGCAGGAAUGUACUACGCUGAAGUGAGCGUACAGAGCAUUAUCGUUUAGCACAAAUGUGACCUCUUCUUUUUGUCUUUCUUUUUUUUUGCAAACCCGUCCUCCCUCUCAAAUAAAACUGAUUUGUUUA